rnacentral:rRNA from 1 species
AUGAACGCUGGCGGCGUGCUUAACACAUGCAAGUCGAACGAUGAUGGGAGCUUGCUCCUGGAUUAGUGGCGAACGGGUGAGUAACACGUGAGUAACCUGCCCUUAACUCUGGGAUAAGCCUGGGAAACUGGGUCUAAUACCGGAUAUGACUCCUCAUCGCAUGGUGGGGGGUGGAAAGCUUUAUUGUGGUUUUGGAUGGACUCGCGGCCUAUCAGCUUGUUGGUGAGGUAAUGGCUUACCAAGGCGACGACGGGUAGCCGGCCGGAGAGGGUGACCGGCCACACUGGGACUGAGACACGGCCCAGACUCCUACGGGAGGCAGCAGUGGGGAAUAUUGCACAAUGGGCGCAAGCCUGAUGCAGCGACGCCGCGUGAGGGAUGACGGCCUUCGGGUUGUAAACCUCUUUCAGUAGGGAAGAAGCGAAAGUGACGGCACCUGCAGAAGAAGCGCCGGCUAACUACG